rnacentral:misc_RNA from 1 species
ACUCCGUAGGUGAACCUGCGGAGGGAUCAUUACAGAGCUCUCGCCCUCGCGGGUAGAUCUCCCACCCACUGUUAUCGUUACUGUGUUGCUUUGGCGGGCCGCCGGGCCCCGCUCGGCCGCCGGCUCCGGCUGGCGCGCGCCCGCCAGAGGCCCAGCAAACUCUGAAUGUUAGUGUCGUCUGAGUACUAUAUAAUAGUUAAAACUUUCAACAACGGAUCUCUUGGUUCUG